UAAACUGACCAAUCACAGUGCACAUACUAAUUGAGAGAUGUAAUAAUAUUAGUUCAAUGACAAAAGUUCUUUGGUUUGACCAGCUGACUACAGAUUUGCUGUAUUGGAAUCAAAGCGAUGGACUUCUUUAACUUGGGUUGAUAAGUCAACUUAUUACAUGUCAAAUAAAGUAGCGGACCAGCCUUUUCCUCAGCAUGUACUCAACCUCUGGGACAUUCAGUUUGAAUGAUCCUGCAUUAUUUUUCUUGAGGAUUUUUAGUUGUGUAGUAAGUCUCUUAUAACCAAGCUUGCUCAGGACUGUACUGGAGAAUAUCGGCCCACCGUCUUGUUUCUACGGACCUUACUGGGCUCAGUCUGUGCUGUCAAGACCUUGGCCCAAUAUUCUCCCAGUACAGCCCUUACUCUUGGUUAAUAAGCUAUAUUUAUGAAUAUUAUUUUUUUAUUGUUUCAGACUCGUACAAUUGAAGAGUUAAAGGAUCGCUACUAUAGCUGUGUUACAAGGUUACUCAAGGCUCGAGCCCCCCCAGGGCAAGAACCACAGAAUUUGCCUGCACCAUAUGACAGUCAGCAUGAAACAGAGAGAAAAAGACAACUUCUGAAGCUGUUUAACCGUACUCAAGAACAGGUGCAAGAGGAAGAAAUGCU